rnacentral:rRNA from 1 species
GAUGAACGCUGGCGGCGUGCCUAAUACAUGCAAGUCGAGCGAACAGACGAGGAGCUUGCUCCUCUGACGUUAGCGGCGGACGGGUGAGUAACACGUGGAUAACCUACCUAUAAGACUGGGAUAACUUCGGGAAACCGGAGCUAAUACCGGAUAAUAUAUUGAACCGCAUGGUUCAAUAGUGAAAGACGGUUUUGCUGUCACUUAUAGAUGGAUCCGCGCCGCAUUAGCUAGUUGGUAAGGUAACGGCUUACCAAGGCAACGAUGCGUAGCCGACCUGAGAGGGUGACAGGGGAAACGGGAGCGAAGACUCGGUGCAGAGUCGUAGGGGAGGGAGCGAUAGGGAAUCGUGCGCAAUGGGCGAUAGGUUUAUGAAGCAACGAGACGUGAGUGAUAAAGGUAUUCGGAUCGUAAAACACGGUUAGUAGGUACGAACAAAUGUGUAAGUGACUAUGCACGUCUUGACGGUACCGAAUCAGAAAGCAACGGCUAGCUACGUG